CACGUAGGGGGCGAGCGUUGUCCGGAUUUAUUGGGCGUAAAGGGCUCGUAGGCGGCUCAGUAAGUCGGGUGUGAAACCUCCAGGCUCAACCUGGAGACGCCACUCGAUACUGCUGUGGCUAGAGUCCGGUAGGGGAGCAUGGAAUUCCUGGUGUAGCGGUGAAAUGCGCAGAUAUCAGGAGGAACACCAGUGGCGAAGGCGGCUCUCUGGGACGGUACUGACGCUGAGACGCGAAAGCGUGGGGAGCGAACAGG
rnacentral:rRNA from 1 species